rnacentral:rRNA from 1 species
UACGGGGGGGGUAAGCGUUGUUCGGAAUUACUGGGCGUAAAGGGCUCGUAGGCGGCCAACUAAGUCAUACGUGAAAUCCCUCAGCUUAACUGGGGAACUGCGUGUGAUACUGGAUGGCUUGGAUUUGGGAGAGGGAUGCGGAAUUCCAGGUGUAGCGGUGAAAUUCGUAGAUAUUCGCAAGAACACCAGUGGCGAAGGCGGCUCACUGGCCCGGUACUGACGCUGAGACGCGAAAGCGUGGGGAGCGAACAGG